UUCAAGUUAAUUUCCGAUGACGUUUUGGAAAUGAUUUCGUGGUCGUGGACACGAGUACGAAGCUUAGAGGAGUGUGGAAUUAGUUCGAACGAUUUUAUUUUGAAAACUGAACGUUUUAGGGGGGUCAAAGGAGUUGACUUUUUAUACAUUGGGAAAUUGGGAAAACUUCCUUCAUGAAAGUUGUAGAGCGCGUCGAUACGAGUUCGUGGACAUAUGGAACGUAAUAUUCGGAGUUCGUAUGAAUAAGUUACGAAUAUUUGAAAAUUGGGAUUUUCUAUAAAUAUGAAAAAAAAUCCGAAUAUUGCAAAUGAGGACAGAAUUUCUGGAACUCCAGAAAUUUCUCCCCAUUUCUCUCCCGAGCCCAGCCGCGACCCCCUCCCUUCGUCACCUUCGUUCUUCCUCAUCCGGCCACCGAUUGAUGUGAAACAAAGUGGGUUUUUCUGGUCUCGACCCCCUUUACGAGUUUGUAGAAGAAAUCGAAGUGAAAUACGAGCUGUAUGAGGCUCUACAAGGUCGAGAAGAGAGCCUCGUCGGAGACGAAAUCGCUCUUCCCCACUUUUUCUGGGCUCUAUUUUGUCUGGCCAUAUCUUCCUCUACAGGCCUCCGAUCGACCUGAUUCCAAAAGCAAUUUUUCUCACCGUGAAGUUUUCUACAACUUUCCAGAAGACAUCGACUUGAGAUAACCAUCGUGGUGGCCGCUAGAAGACCGAGAAGCCGCACAGCCGAGCUGGAAAUCGUCUUCCUUCGCCACCUUGGUUCUCCCAGCUCCGGCCACUAUAGCUCGAGUUCUUUGAGGGCUUUUCUAGCCCAGAGGAAGUAGAAGCUAUCCCCAAGAAGGCUUGCAGCGAUUUGAUCCGGGGUGAUCGAAUUUUGAAGAUUGGGAAACUAGGGUUCUUCGGGUUUCAAAACUUGCGAGGUGAUUGACGGUCUCCCUUGGGUGAACGAUUUCGGUGUGUAUUGUGUUGAAUUGAAGACGCAGCGGGAAUAUCGAGCGGGUAAUCCUGCAGGUCAGGAGAAUCAGGACGGUGAUCGUGCGGGUUAGAGAAUUUGUUUUAGUUUUACAGCAAUUGUAAUUGUGAGGUGAGUUAUGCUCAUUUGAGCCUUACAAUAUAAUUUGGUGAGAGUGUGCUGUAAUAAACAAAUUUGAGAUUUGGUUUAUGUAAUAUCGAGCGAUGUGAGGUGUGGUUGUUUUGAGAAAAAAAUUCAGGUUGUAUUUAUGUGAGUUGUAUUAAUUCAUGUUUCGGAUUUUUAAUUGUAUUUAAAAUUCGGGGCGUGACAGUUUGGUAUCA